CGGACGCUGCUCGCCAUCCCAGGCGAUGACAGAGCGGUGGCAGCGGCAGCUCGGGAAAGGUGGGACCGGGUCUGCUCAUUAAACCACCCACACAGGCGGAUUGACAGCUCUGGGGAGAGGGAAAGACCCGCAAUUCAAAUAUGUCCUAGCAGACAGCAUGGAUAUUGACUUUGGCUAUGGCCAUACACGAGGAAUCCAAAUUUGAAAUGAAUGAUCCAACAGUCGUGACCGAAGUCGCUGGGGAUAAUCCAGCUCCAUCUCCUCCUGCCACCCGCCACCGCCGCCAGUACCUGUGCUCCGUCUGUGCCAAAGCCUGCACAUCCCCUUCACAUUUAGAAAUACACCUUCGCGUUCACACUGGAGAGAAGCCCUUUGAGUGCCCCGUGUGCAAAAGGAGGUUUGGAGGAUACCACAACCUGAGGCGACAUGAGCUAAUUCACACUGCAGAGAAACGGUUUCAGUGUGUGGAGUGUGACCGCAAGUUCCGCACAUCCGGCCAGCUGAAAACCCAUCAACAAAUUCAUGUCGAAGGGCGACGCUUCGAAUGCAAUGAAUGUAAAAAGGGAUUUUAUACAAUCAGUUCCCUUACAGUCCACCAGCGGUUUCACACUGGGGAGAAACCGUAUGAAUGCGCUGAGUGUAAAAAACGAUUUUACACAGCCAGCGAGCGUGUGAAUCACCAGCGAACUCACACCGGAGAGAGACCCUAUGAAUGUACUGAAUGCAAAAAGCGGUUUUAUAGAGUCAGUGAGCUCACACAGCACCAGCGGGUUCACACUGGAGAGCGACCCUUUCAGUGCAGCGAGUGUAAAAAACGAUUUUACAGAACAAGUGAGCUGAUGGUGCACCAGCGAAUUCACACCGGGGAGAGACCGUUUGAAUGUAACGAGUGUAAAAAACGAUUUUACACAUCCAGCUACCUAACAGUGCAUCGGCGCAUUCACACUGGAGAGAAACCAUUUGAAUGUUGUGAAUGUAAAAAACGAUUUUGUUCAGCCAGUGAACUGACGAAUCAUCAGCGAAUUCACACGGGAGAGAGGCCCUUUGGAUGCAGUGUGUGCGGAAAAGCUUUUGCCCGAUCCUUUCACCUAAAGAAACACGAGAUCACUCACACUGGGGAGAGACCGUUUGAAUGCAGCGAGUGUAAAAAGCGAUUUUAUACAGCCAGUGAGUGGGAAAAUCAUCAGCAAAUUCACAUUGGCGAGAGAUUGUUUGAGUGCAGUGUGUGCGGACAAGCCUUUACACAGUCAAGGCGUCUCAAGAAUCAUGAGCGGACCCACUCUGGUGAGAGACCAUUUGAGUGCAGCGUUUGUCAAAAAGCUUUCCCACAGUUGAGUCAUCUCAAGAAUCACAAGCGUACUCACACAGGAGAGAGACCAUUUGAGUGCAGUGUGUGUGGUAAAGCCUUCACACAGUCCAGUCAUUUGAAGAAGCACCAACAUACUCACACAUGAAGGGAAACUACAUUGUUGUACAGCAUCGUUUACAAAACCAUACUUGCAGUUGCUUACUUUCUCGUCACAUUUUGUGGGAACAUUCCCAUGUUCACAUCUGUAGAAAGAAACCACAUCCUCGGUUCUGAAGAAUUUUCGGCCAAAGGGCAGCAAUUGUGGUCGAAGGUCAACUCUGCCUGUGCUUAUGCAUUAUUUGCACACCCAUGCAGCCUUAAGUCUAGCCCAGGAUCUCAUUUCUCCCGACACAACAAGCUCUUACGUGUGGAUUUUAUGAAACUUGACUUCAAUUUUUUUGGUGUUUCUCUCUCUGUGGGUUCAAGGACU